UACGUAGGCAGCGAGCGUUGUUCGGAAUUACUGGGCGUAAAGAGUGUGUAGGCGGUGCUCUAAGUUCGGUGUGAAAUCUCCUGCUUAACUGGGAGGGUGCGCCGGAAACUGGAGUGCUUGAGCGUGGGAGAGGAAAGCGGAAUUCCUGGUGUAGCGGUGAAAUGCGUAGAUAUCUGGAGGAACACCGGUGGCGAAGGCGGCAUCCUGGACCGGCAUUGACGGCUGAGGCGCGAAAGCCAGGGGAGCAAACGGG
rnacentral:rRNA from 1 species